GAUCAUUGACAUAUUUGAUAAGCGACAAAAACAAGAGAUAAAUCUGUGGGUGCAAUGCCCACUAGUGACUAAUCCUCGAAAGGGGUGGAGUCGUUAGCCCUAGGCCUAUUGCGCUAGGGGUGGAGCUGGGGAGUUUAACUAGUCCAGCCAUCGGAGAGCGAAGCUCCCUGACGACAC
rnacentral:sRNA from 12 species